rnacentral:lncRNA from 1 species
UAAUAUUUUCUAUUAUUUAAAUUUUUAUUUAUUUUUUAUUUUAUUUAUACGAAUUAAAUCAGAUAUCCAGUUAUCCAUAAGAUCAAAUAUCUAGAUAACUAGUAGCUACAGAUUGAAUCGGAUCGGAUGAUUGAUUACACGGACAAAAUGAAUCAUAAAUACCUUAAAAAAACCCACAUAUUCGAUCCGCGCUCAUCCCUAGUCGAAGUUACUAUAAAAAGAGGACUUAAGAUGAAGAGUCUUUGGGAGAAAGGUAGCAUCGUGUGAACGACCACUUCUAAAUUCAUACCUUAAAACGAAUUGUUCAAUUACAAAAAUCAAAUCAAAUGUGCAGUCUGUACAAAUCUAAACCUAUAU